ACACUAAGCUAUGACUUGGAGACAAAGGCCAAGUCAAGCCCCACUGUGAGAUUCAAUGAUUCCUUGGUGGAGAAAGAAGCAUUUGAUGUGGAGCCUGACACACCUCCACUGUAUCCCAAGGGCCUAUCUCAUGAAGGGAGGGGAAGAAAUAUCUAGCACAGCUGCUUCCGAAUUCCCUGGCUGGUCUGAGAACUGUGUGAAGCUGUGAUGGAACCCCCUGGAGAUGUUCUGCAGCUCCAGGCCUCACUUCACAGACUCACUGCAGGAAUGGAUGAACUAAUAAAUGAUUAAGAGUGGAGGCUACAGCUGUACACAGAUCAGAAUUGUAAAAAAUGAGCUUCGUGCUUGCUAGAGUGGACUAGAUGAGAUAUAUCUUAUUGUUAUUUGGAAG
rnacentral:lncRNA from 10 species